rnacentral:rRNA from 1 species
UUCGGUUUCAAUGAAAGUGGCGCACGGGUGCGUAACACGUAUGCAACCUACCUCUUACAGGGGGAUAGCCCGGGGAAACCCGGAUUAAUACCCCAUGGUACUAUUGAUUGGCAUCAUGAGGUAGUUAAAGAUUUAUCGGUAAGAGAUGGGCAUGCGUCUGAUUAGCUAGUUGGUGGUGUAACGGACCACCAAGGCGACGAUCAGUAGGGGUUCUGAGAGGAAGGUCCCCCACACUGGCACUGAGAUACGGGCCAGACUCCUACGGGAGGCAGCAGUAGGGAAUAUUGGGCAAUGGGCGAGAGCCUGACCCAGCCAUGCCGCGUGCAGGAAGACGGCCUAUUGGGUUGUAAACUGCUUUUAUCUGGGAAGAAAAUGCUCCUGCGGGGGAAAUUGCCGGUACCAGAUGAAUAAGCACCGGCUAACUCCGUGCCAGCAGCCGCGGUAAUACGGAGGGUGCAAGCGUUGUCCGGAUUUAUUGGGUUUAAAGGGUGCGUAGGCGGCCUGUUAAGUCAGCGGUGAAAGACCACGGCUCAACCGUGGCAGUGCCGUUGAUACUGGCAGGCUUGAGUGCUGCAGGGGUACAUGGAAUUGAUGGUGUAG